rnacentral:rRNA from 1 species
UGGGUAGUCCGCACGAGCGCANCCCUUAUCCUUAUUUGCCAGCACGUAAUGGUGGGAACUCUAGGGAGACUGCCGGUGAUAAACCGGAGGAAGGUGGGGACGACGUCAAGUCAUCAUGGCCCUUACGAGUAGGGCUACACACGUGCUACAAUGGCGUAUACAGAGGGUUGCAAAGCCGCGAGGUGGAGCUAAUCUCACAAAGUACGUCGUAGUCCGGAUCGGAGUCUGCAACUCGACUCCGCGAAGUCGGAAUCGCUAGUAAUCGUGGAUCAGAAUGCCACGGUGAAUACGUUCCCGGGCCUUGUACACACCGCCCGUCACACCAUGGGAGUGGGCUGCAAAAGAAGUGGGUAGUUUAACCUUCGGGAGAACGCUCACCACUUUGUGGUUCAUGACUGGGGUGAAGUCGUAACAAGGUAGCCCUAGGGGAACCUGGGGCUGGAUCACCUCCUU